UGUAAUUUAAUUUCUAUAACAUCAAUGUAUCAUAUCCCAUUAGAACUUUGUAGUCAAGUGCAUUUGGGAAAUAUUAGUACUAGGAUGGGAUACCUCCCCGAAAGUACUAGUGUUUUACAU
rfam:Picea glauca, whole genome shotgun sequence.